AAAGGAAAGAACAAGUGUUAGCCUUCCUGAGCGGUGCACCGAAGUGUGCCAGAGGCUCAGGCAACCCUUUGUGAAGGAGAUAGUCAUUUCUGAAAAGCAGAAAACCAUUAUAUCAAAGGAUAAAUCAUCAUUGAAGUUACACAUGGGGAGGUUUCUCUAAGCCAGUCUCACCUCACUCGGUCAGUGUUGUAUGUGAGUGACUCGUUCUCUUUCUUCCAAAAUAUCUGAGGAGAUGGCUCCCCCGAGAUUCGACACUCCAGUCGCACUGGGAAUCCCUCAGUCACACCUGUGUUUUGAAGCUUCUCUAUAAAUACAGGUGCUUUUUGUACUUCCUUAGCUGUGAAAAUAAAGAUUGCACUUAUGUU